rnacentral:rRNA from 1 species
UACGGAGGUGGCAAGCGUUGUUCGGAAUCACUGGGCGUAAAGGGUGCGUAGGCGGGUCUUUAAGUCAGGGGUGAAAUCCUGGAGCUCAACUCCAGAACUGCCUUUGAUACUGAAGAUCUUGAGUUCGGGAGAGGUGAGUGGAACUGCGAGUGUAGAGGUGAAAUUCGUAGAUAUUCGCAAGAACACCAGUGGCGAAGGCGGCUCACUGGCCCGAUACUGACGCUGUGGCACGAAAGCGUGGGGAGCAAACAGG